rnacentral:misc_RNA from 1 species
UAUGACCUAACCAGCCAAGCCUAUGCGCUCACCUCACAUGAGCUCCUCCUCCUUGCGGAGGUACUCCCCGGCGUCCGACUGGUGCAGCACGACGACGGCGUUGGUGUCGGCCUUCCUGCAAUCCUGCGCCGACCUCGCCGCAAUGCCGAACCCGAGAGGGACGUCAGCCAUGGACAUGACGACCACCCCGUCCCCGGCCUUGGUGUUCUCGGUGAUGCGAGCGAGAGAAGACUUGGGCACGGAAUUGCCAAAGAGAAAGGAACGCUCGGUGUCGGGUUUGAGCCAGACGCGGCGGCGCGCGUGUGCAGCGAGGAGGUCGAGCGCGUGGACCGUAAGGUGGAACGCGCCGUGGUGGGUGAACUUGCCGAUGGGCGUCCCCACGCCGGCGAGGCGCGGUCGGGACACGGCGGUGGCGCGGCGCACGAGCGCCUCGGAGGCGUAGUAGACGCGAUUGCGGUGAAGCCGGAGGCAGUAGCGGCCGGGCUCCGCGUCGGGGCCCUCCACUGCGGGGCGCUCCAGGAGGUGCUUCAGGUUGGGCCCCGUGAACUUGAACAGCUUCUCGAAUACCUGAGUCGUCUCCUUCUCGUCGAGAGGCCUCAUGGCGCGGCGGCGGCGGAGGCAGAGCUCGGGGCGGAUGGAAGUUUGGUGCUGGCGGGCGGCGGCAGGUUGAUUGGGGAGUGGGGACGGAUGUUAGGGUUUUGAGUUG